rnacentral:rRNA from 1 species
AGUGUUUGAUCCUGUCUCAGGACGAACGCUGGCGGCGUGCCUAAUACAUGCAAGUCGAGCGAAUCAAUAGGAGCUUGCUCCUGUUGGUUAGCGGCGGACGGGUGAGUAACACGUGGGCAACCUGCCUGUAAGACUGGGAUAACACCGGGAAACCGGUGCUAAUACCGGAUAAUCCUUUUCCUCUCAUGAGGAAAAGCUGAAAGUCGGUUUCGGCUGACACUUACAGAUGGGCCCGCGGCGCAUUAGCUAGUUGGUGAGGUAACGGCUCACCAAGGCGACGAUGCGUAGCCGACCUGAGAGGGUGAUCGGCCACACUGGGACUGAGACACGGCCCAGACUCCUACGGGAGGCAGCAGUAGGGAAUCUUCCACAAUGGACGAAAGUCUGAUGGAGCAACGCCGCGUGAGCGAUGAAGGCCUUCGGGUCGUAAAGCUCUGUUGUUAGGGAAGAACAAGUACCGGAGUAACUGCCGGUACCUUGACGGUACCUAACCAGAAAGCCACGGCUAACUACGUGCCAGCAGCCGCGGUAAUACGUAGGUGGCAAGCGUUGUCCGGAAUUAUUGGGCGUAAAGCGCGCGCAGGCGGUCCUUUAAGUCUGAUGUGAAAGCCCACGGCUCAACCGUGGAGGGUCAUUGGAAACUGGGGGACUUGAGUGCAGAAGAGGAAAGCGGAAUUCCACGUGUAGCGGUGAAAUGCGUAGAGAUGUGGAGGAACACCAGUGGCGAAGGCGGCUUUCUGGUCUGUAACUGACGCUGAGGCGCGAAAGCGUGGGGGAGCAAACAGGAUUAGAUACCCUGGUAGUCCACGCCGUAAACGAUGAGUGCUAAUGUUAGGGGGUUUCCGCC